rnacentral:sRNA from 1 species
UGCCUGUCGCCGAGCCUGGCAUCUCCGAGCCCCCGCGCGGGGGGCUGCCGCCCAGCGCUGAUUGACAGCCCGCCUCGCCAAUGCCUGGAGGGAGAAAGGAGGUACAGAUAUGCAACAAUAACUAUAUGGAGAUGUAUAUUAGACUCCUGGAGCUGAAUAUCACUGUGCAGAAGAUGGCUGAUGGUUUGAGUAUGGACGAGUGAAGACAUGGGACAGAAGCCCAGCCAGUCAGACAGCCUCAGAGGAUGCAGAACAGCCUGGGAACAGAGAGGAGGCUCAAGACAAUGAAAACCGAUACCACGGGAGGAAGCACUUCUGAAGGAGAAAUGGAUUCAGUUCCAACAGGCUUGGAGACAUUUAGCAAAAUAUAAAUAAAAAGAUAAGACAACGUGCUAAGUAAUCAUUAUUGAGGACCUUGCUGAGAACAUAUGAUGCCAGGCUGAGGAACGUGGGGUAUACCUACCUGGCAGGGCACCUAGCGCAGCACACUCGGGGCUCUGGAUUUAUGCCCCGCACCAGAGAGGGUAAAGGGAAUAAGGACAGACUGAGAAGGAGAGCAAGAGAAUCCUGCUUUCCUGAGACUCUGAGAGGGAAGAGCGAGUCUGGGUGGAACGCUCCCUCCACAGAGCCUUACCUGGACAGCCUACAUCCCAUGCGGAGCCGUGAAGACCCCUAGUGAGGCAUCUUUGUGGGAAGCAAAAGUAGUCAAGGAAGUUCUCACAUCAACUUUGUUGGCGCCAGUCUUACCCAGAGUCAGGCUGACAGGUCCAGGCCGUGCUCUCUUUAUCCUAUAGUCUCAUCUCCUAGGGCAUCUUAUGAAUGUGAAACAUGAGGAAAUAAAAAUGAGUCCCCUACAGAGAAAAGCCGUCGCACCUACCUGUAGGGGAAGACCAGGUGCUGGGGCCUGCCCUUCAGACUUGAGGCCUUAGCCAACGGCCAUUUACAGUCACCCUGACUGAGGUGGUUUGAAUGUUCUGGGCCCAUAGAGAGUGGUACCAUUAGGCUGUGUGGCCUUGUCAGAGGAAGUGUAUCACUGUGGGGGUGGGCUUUGGAGGCCUCCACCUAUGCUCAGGCUCUGCCCAUUGUGGCAAAGAUCUUUUUCCUAGCUGUCUGGGAUGGCAGUCUUCUGGCUGCCUUUGGAUCACAAUGUAGAACGUUAGGCUCCUCCAGCCCCAUGGCUGCCUGGAUGCUGCCAUGCUUCCUGCCAUGACAAUAAUGGCAGGAACUGUAAGCCAGUCCCAUUUAAACGUCAUCCUUGGUCAUGUCUCUUCAUAGCAAUGGAAACCCUAAGACACUAAGACAUGUCACCACACCUGACGACGCCAGUGUCUAGGAAGUGACUACUACCACCUUUGUGACCUUCAUCUUUUUACUGUCACAGCUACCAACCCCCAGGCCACAUCUCCCAUGUUACAGCUCCACUUCUCCGCACUUCGUUUGAAGUCUCUACUUUCCAUAGCUCUGACACUUUUGGGCUGCAGCUGCUACUUAACACCCUUGUCUGCUGCUCACCCUUCUUUCUCUGAAAUUCACCACUCUCUCCUGCCCUUUGAUCAGAGCUCAUGAUGAUCAGUGUGUUUUAGAUAGCUUGGGUUCUUUCUUUCAGUCACAUGUCCCUGGCAAAAUCCUGACCUGGGAUUUGCCUACGUCCCUCUUAAGCAAGUGGGCCUCACUGCCUUAUGGCAGCCCCACCCCUCCCUAGUCCUCAGGAAUGCUUGGUUAUUACUCUUCCCCUGCAGCCAGCUCGCUCCCUCAAGCCUCCCAGCCUCCCACUGCUUCUUCCUACUUACUGUGAAUGCAGUCAUCGCUGUGAGAACUUCCUGCUUAGUUCUCUGUUCACCUGAUCUCUGGUCUCCACAGAACACACUUAAGUCCCACAAAAGCAAGGACCGCGUCCAUUGUAAGUCCCUAGCAUGACGCUCGGAACCUUGUAGGUAAAGUGUUGAACUUUGGAUUGACUGAGCCAUCUGUAAGAUUUUGGCUAAGUCAGUCAUUUUUUGAAUGUAAGCAUCCUUUAUUCCAUUAAAUAUUUCUCUCAGAUUUAUAAAAUGAUUAUGAGAAACACUGAGUCAUUUCGUUUUGAAAACCGUAUGUUUAAACUUAGGUGUUUCCAUUUAGGUGGGUGUCUGUUAACUCCUUGCUAUGGAAGAUGAGGAAAUUAGCAUUCCCCACUUCCUUUUACUCCCCCCUUCCUGUUUUGACCAUGUCAUUAUAUAUUGGUGACAUUUGUAACAUAUAAACCUGUUCUGUAACUCUU